UUUCAAAGACACUGACACAGGCAGCACUAUAAUGAUGUUGGUCGUUCUACUGCUGGUGAUGCUGGGUCUUCUUGUACAAGAAUCAAUGGCAGAUAUAGUCCUGACUCAGGAUCCAGCAGCUCAGUCUGUUCAGCUGGGAGACACUGUCUCUAUCAGCUGUACAGCCAGUCAGAGUGUUUACAGCAAUGACCGUCUCAGCUGGUACCAGCAGAAACCUGGUCAGGCUCCUAAACUUCUGAUUUAUGCUGCCACAACACGCCAGUCUGGGAUUCCUGAUCGUUUCAGUGGGACUGGAUCUGGGACUCAGUUUACGCUGAAAAUCACUGGAGUCCAGGCUGAAGAUGCAGGAGAUUAUUACUGUCAGGGUGCUCAUUAUAUCAGUAGUAGCUGGGUGUUCACACAGUGAUACAGAGCCGUACAAAAACCUCCCUCAGUCAGACUGCACUGCUGCAGCUGGGACCUACUGCAGGUGCUGAGGGGGGAGGCACUGAUCUGGGACAUAUUGCCAGUGGACCAGUAGGGGGCGACAAUUUAUGCCUCUCUGUACUGAAGAGGAGCUACUCUGUGUCAUGCACAGAACCCAUAGCAGAUCUGCUGCUGAACCACACACACUACUGUACCACAGCAUCACAGGAAACACGUCGUAUAUCAGCUCACAAGGAGCAAUGAUCACCUGGAGUUCACCCUAAGCUGAGGAUGUGUACUUUCUCCUAGAGGAGGAAUGAGUGGGAUUUCAAAUUAACUGCUGUCUGAAGGGUAUUUUGAGUUGAUUACAUACAUCAGAGUUUAUGUAAUUAAAGGUGUUUCUGUUCAGAUGGGAUCCUGGUGACAUCUCAGCCACGAUGCACUGAAUCGCAGAAUUUAUUAUUUUCUGCGACAGUAUUUCUUUGAUUGGCACCAUCAUCUUUUUUUUUAAGUUUCAAAUUUUCUCGUUAGUUAUUCAAUUUAAACGCAACUUUGCAUGAUACAGCAUGGAUAGACUUCCAUAACAAGCUCCCAUAUUAUUAAAUUUGAUCAUUUUAAACUCAACGGAUAUCAGUGCAUUCAUUUUGAAUUGAUAUCCCUUGAGCUUAAUGCAUUCAAUUGCACAGGCAUCCAUUAUAUUUCAGGCAUGGGGUCAGUACUGGGUUAGUAUUACCAAAACCUGUUUGUGUUUGCUGAAUAAAUGCAGCAUUGCGUAUUUGGAAAUUUGAAGGAUGGAAUAUAUAAAAGUGAGAAAACCCCUCAGAUACUCGUCAAGUGUCAAGAUCACCAACUGUAAGAGACCCCUCUGAUGCACCAAACAGCAGAAGUAUCUGAGUGGAGAAGAAAUUCGUGUAGUCUUACCUGUUGCUGCAUGGAACAGCACUAAUUUAAUAAUAUUUCAAUUAUUUGACUCCAAAAUAAUGUUUUAACCAAUAACUUAAUAGUUAUGGAGACCUCUUUUUCUCCAUUCAAAAAGUGGAACAGAUACAAUUAAAUUUUUCACUCCAUGAAAUCACAAGGAAACACUAAAUGGCUAAAACACUCAUCGAAGCCACUGACAAUUUUAAAAUGCAGAAAAUAAUUCUUUUUUUUUUUUUUUAAUCUUUGGA